UGAGUCAGUGGUGAUGAAUGAUGGUGGGUGAGUCAUGGACAAUGAAUACCAUGUGUCUGGAUACCAAGGUCCAA
rfam:Canis lupus familiaris chromosome 8, whole genome shotgun sequence.